CAUAAAAUUUUGAUCCUAAACUUACCGCUAUUUUGAGUCAAAAUUAUACAUGCUAGCUUCAACAUACCAGUGAAAAUGCCCAAAACAAUCUUAACAAAAUGAAGGAGCCGGUAUCAGGCUCACCAAAAUUUACAAGCCUACGACACCUUGCUUUGCCACCCCUCCACAGGUCCUCAGCAGUAAUCAACAUUAGGCCAUAAGCGCAAGCUUGACCUAGCUAUGACUCAACAAGGCCGGUAAACUUCGUGCCAGCAACCGCGGUUAUACGAAGGGCCUAAAAUAAUACCAACGGCGUAAAGCGUGACUAGAACUCCCCCAGCCUACUUAAAGAAAAUUAAAAUUUAGUCGUGAAACACCAGAAUCAAAAGAAAUCUCCCACACUUAAGAAAGCACGGACCUUUAACUCACCAAAACUAAGAAACAAACUAGGAUUAGAUACCCUACUAUGCUUAGUCCUAACCCCAGAUAUUUUCCCCACUAAAUAUCCGCCAGAGAACUACAAGUGAAAAACUUAAAACUCAAAGGAUUUGGCGGUGCUCCACCCAACCUAGAGGAGCCUGUCCUAUAAUCGACACCCCCCGAUCAACCCUGCCACUCCUAGCCCAACACAGCCUAUAUACCGCCGUCGCCAGCCUAUCCCAUGAGGGGAGAAAAAUAAGCACAAUAGUCCAACCACUAAAACGUCAGGUCAAGGCGUAGCUAAUGGAGCGGAAGAGAUGGGCUACACUUUCUACCAAAGAAAAAACGAAGGGCCCUAUGAAACUUAGUACCAGAAGGCGGAUUUAGCAGUAAAACAAGUAAGAGUACUUUUUUAAAAACAGCCCUGGAGCGCGCACACACCGCCCGUCACCCUCCUCAACAACCACCACACUAAAACUAUAAAAUCAUAAACUACAAGAUGAGGCAAGUCGUAACAUGGUAAGCGCACUGGAAAGUGUGCUUGGAAUA
rnacentral:ncRNA from 1 species